GUGAAGCGGAGAAUUUAAGCCCCAGUAAACGGCGGUGGUAACUAUAACCAUCCUAAGGUAGCGAAAUUCCUUGUCGGGUAAGUUCCGACCCGCACGAAAGGUGUAACGAUUUGGGCACUGUCUCAACGAGAGACUCGGUGAAAUCAUAGUACCUGUGAAGAUGCAGGUUACCCGCGACAGGACGGAAAGACCCCGUGGAGCUUUACUGUAGUCUGAUAUUGAAAUUCGGCACAGCUUGUACAGGAUAGGUAGGAGCCUGAGAUGCGUGAGCGCUAGCUUACGUGGAGGCGUUGGUGGGAUACUACCCUCGCUGUGUUGGAUUUCUAACCCGCACCAUUUAUCAUGGUGGGAGACAGUGUCAGAUGGGCAGUUUGACUGGGGCGG
rnacentral:rRNA from 1 species